CCUACGGGAGGCAGCAGUGGGGAAUAUUGGACAAUGGGCGAAAGCCUGAUCCAGCCAUGCCGCGUGUGUGAAGAAGGUCUUCGGAUUGUAAAGCACUUUAAGUUGGGAGGAAGGGCAGUAAGUUAAUACCUUGCUGUUUUGACGUUACCGACAGAAUAAGCACCGGCUAACUUCGUGCCAGCAGCCGCGGUAAU
rnacentral:rRNA from 2 species